ensembl:lncRNA
GAGAGGAGAGGAGAGGAGAGGAGAGGGGAGGAGAGGAGAGGAGAGGAGAGCAGGCGGUCUGAGGAGAGGAGAGGAGAGGAGAGGAGGAGGUCUGAGGAGAGGAGAGGAGAGGAGAGGAGAGGAGGAGGUCUGAGGAGAAGAGAGGAGAGGAGAGGAGAGGAGAGGAGAGGAGGAGAGGAGAGGAGAGGAGGUCUGAGGAGAGGAGAGGAGAGCAGGAGGUCUGAGGAGAGGAGAGGAGAGGAGAAGAGAGGAGAGGAGAGGCGAGGAGAGGAGAGGAGAGGAGAAGAGAGGAGAGGAGAGGAGAGGAGAGGAGAGCAGGAGGUCUGAGGAGAGGAGAGGAGAGGAGAGGAGAGGAGAGGAGAGGAGA